rnacentral:rRNA from 1 species
UACAGAGGGGGCAAGCGUUGUUCGGAAUUACUGGGCGUAAAGGGCGCGUAGGCGGCCUCUUAAGUCGAACGUGAAAUCCCCAGGCUUAACCUGGGAACUGCAUCCGAUACUGGAUGGCUUGAAUCCGGGAGAGGGAUGCAGAAUUCCAGGUGUAGCGGUGAAAUGCGUAGAUAUCAGGAGGAACACCGGUGGCGAAGGCGGCUUUCUGGACAGAAACUGACACUGAUGCGCGAAAGCUAGGGGAGCAAACAGG